AUCCGAGCUCCCCCUCCAAUAAUCUCUCCCUAUAUAUCUCCCUCUAGCCGACCUCCAGACAUCUGAGGUCUUACACACUAAAAUCCAAACCAAACUGGCUAUUCUCUAUUAAUGGGAAGCAGAAUCAUGAAAAACCAAUUCCAAAUUCUAUUGAAUACUUAUUUCAGCGAGCAUAUUAUCUGCGCACGCUAUCAGCUAGAAAAUGAUAUCCAGCACACAAAUUAAAGCUCUGUGGCCCUCUAUCUCCACUUUGCCACAUCUGUUAUUCAUGAAAUCACAACAGCUUUGGGAAUAUAUUGCUUCAGGAUAACCAGGAAAGAAGCUUGAAAGUUUCUUGAUGCUUAUAUUUGGCCGGCAAGAUAAGAGCAAUGCAACACAACCUGAAUUUGGCAUAUCAUUUUUUAUUUGGUGUUUGGUAAUAGAUUCUUGGACCGGAUCCAUUGUUUUGGGUCUCUACACGCUGUUCUAGAUUAGAUAUUAAGUGUCAGUAGGUAAUUUUGAGAACACCAUUGAUGUUUCCAUAUUCUGUAAUUUGUUGGGACAUCUGGCAAUUUGAGAAGUAUUUUCAAA